rnacentral:sRNA from 1 species
UAGGUAUGAUAACCUAUGCGUUCCUUG